AACGAACGCUGGCGGCAGGCCUAACACAUGCAAGUCGAGCGCGCCUUCGGGUGAGCGGCGGACGGGUGAGUAACGCGUGGGAAUAUGCCCUUCUUUACGGAAUAGUCCUGGGAAACUGGGGGUAAUACCGUAUACGCCCUUUGGGGGAAAGAUUUAUCGGGGAAGGAUUAGCCCGCGUUGGAUUAGGUAGUUGGUGGGGUAAUGGCCUACCAAGCCGACGAUCCAUAGCUGGUUUGAGAGGAUGAUCAGCCACACUGGGACUGAGACACGGCCCAGACUCCUACGGGAGGCAGCAGUGGGGAAUCUUAGACAAUGGGGGCAACCCUGAUCUAGCCAUGCCGCGUGAGUGAUGAAGGCCUUAGGGUUGUAAAGCUCUUUCAGCUGGGAAGAUAAUGACGGUACCAGCAGAAGAAGCCCCGGCUAACUCCGUG
rnacentral:rRNA from 1 species